UAACACUGAUUUUUAAAUGUUAUUAUAUUAUUCAGCUAUUUAGAGAACUAUUGGCGCGGGCGGCAACGUUGUUUUUAGUCACAAGAGGGAAAAAUAAUGUCUUUUAUGUUAGUGACUUGGCAGCGUUGCCGACCGCAUUCUACUAAAGGGGCCCGCUGAUUAACAAACAGCGGGUGUCUCGAACCGAGAACUAUUCUACACAUUCUUGUGCAGGCUUCCAAACUGUAAUCGAAUCGACACUAUUUUUUUUUUUCAUUA